rnacentral:rRNA from 1 species
AUGGUUUGUGCUAGGACGGCCAGUGCUCCUCUGCUCGCUGCAGCACUAGUAGCGGCGCUGGCAGUGGCCUGCUCGCUGGUGUCUGGGGCUUAUGCGGCGGCAGAGCAGGAGGCCGCCGGCGCCGGCGGGAAUGACUUGAGGUUGAGGCAGCCUCCGAUCACGCGCGGCCUGUCCUUCGACUUCUACAAGCGGAGCUGCCCCAUGGCCGAGUGCAUCGUGCGCCACUUCGUCCGGGACGCCGUCCGCAAGGACGUCGGCCUCGCCGCCGGCCUCCUCCGCCUCCACUUCCACGACUGCUUCGUCCAGGGGUGCGGCCGUGCCCGCGUCAUGCAUGCAUGCAGGGCUGCGACGGGGCCGGGGGAGCAGCGGGCGCCGCCCAACCUCACGCUCCGCCCCUCCGCCUUCAAGGCCAUCAACGACAUCCGGGAUCGGCUGGAGCGCGAGUGCCGCGGCGCCGUCGUCUCCUGCUCCGACAUCCUGACGCUCGCCGCGCACGACUCCGUGGUCGCCACCGGCGGGCCCGAGUACCGCGUGCCGCUCGGCCGGCACGACAGCCCGCGGUUCGCCACGCCGCAGGACGUGCUGUCCGGCCUCCCCGCGCCCACCUCCGCCGUGCCGUCCCUCCUGGACGUCUUCACAACCACAGCCUCCACCUCGACGCCACCGACCUCGUCGCGCUCUCCGGCGGGCACACCGUGGGGCUCGGGCACUGCGCCUCCUUCGAGGGCCGCCUCUUCCCGCGCCCCGACCUCCUCCGCAGGCUGA